ACCUGGUGAUGUGGACAUUUACGGAGCAAGUCCCUAAAGCACUCCCAAGUCUUGAAAAAGAGUUAUCCAUCUAUCUGUCAAAAACUUGUGAUAGUUCUUCGAAGCU